AGGAUAAACGCUGGCGGCGUGCCUAACACAUGCAAGUCGAACGCUCUCGAGCAAUCGAGGGAGUGGCGGACAGGUGAGUAACACGUGGGUACCUACCCCAAGGUGAGGAAUACCGGCGAGAAAUCGCCGACAAUACCGCAUAGGUUUGCGAAAGCAAACAAAGCUCGGGCAACCGGGCGCCAUGGGAAGGGCCUGCGGCCGAUUAGCUGGUUGGUGAGGUAAAAGCUCACCAAGGCGACGAUCGGUAGCUGGUCUGAGAGGAUGAUCAGCCACACUGGGAUUGAGAACGGCCCAGACUCCUACGGGGGGCAGCAGUGAGGAAUUUUCGUCAAUGGGGGCAACCCGUGAACGAGCAACGCCGCGUGCAGGAAGAAGGUUUUCGGAUCGUAAACUGCUUUUCUCUGGGACGAGAACGGACGGUACCAGAGGAAUCAGCCCGGCUAACUACGCGCCAGCAGCCGC
rnacentral:rRNA from 1 species